UGAAUACGAGACGCUAAGGCGUCGAAUUAGUGUAUGUCAUACUUCCAAGAAAAGCUUGCACUGUCAUAAGUAAAAAAUGCCUGUACCAUAACCGACACAGGUGGGUAGGUAGAGUAUACUAAGGGGCGCGAGAUAACUCUCUCUAAGGAACUCGGCAAAAUAACUCCGUAACUUCGGGAGAAGGAGUACCUUAUUCUAUAAGGUUGCAAUAACAAGAUCCAAGCAACUGUUUAUCAAAAACACAGGUCUCCGCUAAGUCGUAAGACGAUGUAUGGGGGCUGACGCCUGCCCAGUGCCAGAAGGUUAAAGAAGUCGGUUAGCAUUAGCGAAGCUGGUAACUGAAGCCCUGGUGAACGGCGGCCGUAACUAUAACGGUCCUAAGGUAGCGAAAUUCCUUGUCGGGUAAGUUCCGACCCGCACGAAAGGCGUAAUGAUUUGGAUACUGUCUCGGAGAGGGGCUCGGUGAAAUAGACUUGUCUGUGAAGAUGCGGACUACCUGCACCAGGACAGAAAGACCCUAUGAAGCUUUACUGUAACUUGAAAUUGAAAUUGGACUUUAUUCGCGCAGUAUAGGUGGGAGGUGUUGAUUAUAAUCUUGCGGGAUUAUUGGAGCCAUCAGUGAGAUACCACUCUUGUAAUGUUAGAUUUCUAACUUUGAAUCAUUAUCUGGUCAAAGGACAGUUUCAGGCGGGCAGUUUGACUGGGGCGGUCGCCUCCCAAACGGUAACGGAGGCGUACAAAGGUUUCCUCUGAACGGGUAGAAAUCGUAUCUAGAGUGUAAAGGCAUAAGGAAGCUUGACUGUGAGACCUACAAGUCGAACAGGGACGAAAGUCGGUCUUAGUGAUCUGACGGUACUGAGUGGAAAGGCCGUCACUCAACGGAUAAAAGUUACUCUAGGAUAACAGGCUGAUCUCCCCCAAGAGUUCACAUCGACGGGGAGGUUUGGCACCUCGAUGCCGGCUCAUCGCAUCCUGGGGCGGUAGUACGUCCCAAGGGUUGGGCUGUUCGCCCAUGAAAGCGGUACGCGAGCUGGGUUCAGAACGUCGUGAGACAGUUCGGUCCAUAUCCGGUGUAGGCGUUAGAAUAUUGAGAGGAGCCUUCUUUAGUACGAGAGGACCGAGAGGGACAUACCUCUGGUGUACCAGUUAUCGUGCCAACGGUAAACGCUGGGUAGCUACGUAUGGAGUGGAUAACCGCUGAAAGCAUCUAAGUGGGAAGCCCACCUCAAGAUAAGUAUUCUC
rnacentral:rRNA from 1 species